AAAAGAGGCUGCAGAUUCUUAGUGGACAGCUCUCAUAUCCCCUCCAGGGAAAAUGAUGAAAAAUGUCUUCAGAAAAAUAGCUUUAUGAAGGCAAGAGGACUUUUUGCACCUGCAAGACAUGUCUGAAAGCUCCUCAGGUCAAAACACAAGUAGUCAAGAGAUUUGUCCAUCUAAUUCAUCAUACUACUCUGAUCCAAGUGAGACCCACACUGGGUCAGCUCCAUCAAGGAGAAGAACAUUCCACCCACGUUUGGAUUCUGGAAUAUCAUCCUUGCUUCCAUCAGAUUCUUGUAAGUACCUCACUUGGCACAAGGUAGACAUGACGUUCAAGGAAGUCAACUGCGUUGCCCAAGAGUAAGAGAAGGUAAAAGAAUAAAUGUGUGCCUUUUUCGUGUACAUCCUCUGAAUAGAAUUUUUUGUGGAUUAAAAGACAUUACUUGAAGAAAAAAAAAAGACACCAUUUGGAGGAAUCUCUGAAGAAGAGCAACUUUUCAGACAGGUAGAGUGUGCCUUGCUCCCAAGGAAAAGAGUUCUUGAAAAAAACAAAUGGGAAACAUGGCUACAAGAAAACUGGGAAGACUGCAAGAAUUUGAACAUUUCAUUUCAGGGUUUGGGGGAUCCUUACCAAGUUGAAAAUUUUAACAGAAUUCUUAGAAGACUAAUUCGAGUUGAAACCCUCUGGUUAGUGGAUAAUUCACUGGUGGACUUAAGUGCCAUAAGAUUGCCAAGAGUAUUCUCCUGUUUGCCAAACUUAAAAAUGCUGGAUGGAAUCUUGAAGCUACCAGAAGAUUGCUUAUCACCAGAAACCAAUAUUUUUUCAAAAAUAUGCCUUGUAUCCUAAUGCAGUCUGUAUAGAAAGAAAGCAAUCAUCAUUGUUGCUAAAAGCUAAUAAACACAGGACAUGCAUGAUUAAAUAUUGCAGUUUAUUUUAUAUCUUUUUGCUUUUCUAAAUCAAGGCAAAAACAUGCUAACUGACAAGAAAAUCAUGGGUUUUAUACAAGGAUAACAAGUGCUGGGUUGCUUAGCUAUGAGGAAGGCUAGGCUCACUGCAUACCAGAAGAUGUACAGCGUUGGAGAAUUCAGGGAUUUUUAUCAACAAUCAAACUAUAUUUGUGGAAAUUUUGUGCAUAAGUGCCAAAGAUGGCUGACAUCGGACCACAUUCUAUUUAACUCAACUGAAUGACACCAAGCUCUCAUCCUAAAACUUAUAGUUACAUCCACCCUUCUGAAAUAUUUAAUUAUUCUCCAAUACACUGGAGGUAAUAGGUAUAAAAAGAAUGAGCAUGUGCAACUUAGUAUCUCAUAUCUAAUUUUGUGUCCCAAGUUCAUUCUUCCCCUGAAUGUCCCAUGUCUACCAGGUGCAGGAUUAUCUGGAUGGGUCAGUUCAAAACAAUUUCAGGGAAUAAAUUGUGUAGGGGACUCAAUUUUCUGAGACAGAAACAUAAUGUGAAUAACUCCUUUGUUAGAAAAUAAUUUCAGUGACAGAAAGCCUUUCAGUUCAUAAAGAAAACUUACAUAUCAACAAGCCUAGCUCCUCACUAGUCCCAGUGAAUGCUUACAUCAAUCAGCUCUACAAUAUCCAGUAAAGGACUUUCCAAUUCGCCUUUGAAUAAACUGAGGUAUUGGAAACAUCU
ensembl:lncRNA LRRC77P leucine rich repeat containing 77, pseudogene